rnacentral:tRNA from 1 species
GCCUCGGUAGCUCAGCGGUUAGAGCUGACCGCUCAUAACGGUUAGGUCGCAGGUUCAAAUCCUGCCCGAGGCACCA